UACGGAGGGUGCGAGCGUUGUCCGGAUUCACUGGGCGUAAAGGGCGCGUAGGCGGCCUGAUAAGUGGGGGGUGAAAUCCUGCGGCUUAACCGCAGGGCUGCCUUCUAAACUGUCAGGCUUGAGCACAGUAGAGGCAGGUGGAAUUCCCGGUGUAGCGGUGGAAUGCGUAGAGAUCGGGAAGAACAUCAGUGGCGAAGGCGGCCUGCUGGGCUGUUGCUGACGCUGAGGCGCGACAGCGUGGGGAGCAAACAGG
rnacentral:rRNA from 1 species